ensembl:misc_RNA Metazoa_SRP Metazoan signal recognition particle RNA
GCUGGUUGCGGUGGUGCAUGCCUGAAGUCCCAGCUACUCCGGAGGCUGAGGUGGGAGGAUCGCUUGAGCCCACGAGUUCUGGGCUGUAGUGCGCUAUGCCGGUAGGGUGUCUAAGUUCGGCAUCAGUAUGAUGACUUUCCGGGAGCAGGGGACCACCAGGUUGGCCUAAGGAGGGGUGAACUAGCCCAAGUCAGAAACCAAGCAGGUCAAAAUUCAAGUGCUGAUCAGUAGUGAUUAGGGUGGUAGCUGUGGCUACAGCAUGACAUGAGAAAUAUGCUACAG